CACAGAGCAGAAGAUCAUGACCUGAGCCGAAGUCAGACGCUUAAAUGACUGAGCCACCCAGGGCUUAUUGUCAUUCGGGGAUGUGACUGUGGGCUUCACUGAGGAGGAGUGGCAGCGCCUGGACCCUGCUCAGAGGACCCUGUACAGGGACGUGAUGCUGGAGAACUACAGCCACCUUGUCGCAGUGGGGUUAUCCAU